rnacentral:rRNA from 1 species
GAUGAACGCUGGCGGCGUGCCUAAUACAUGCAAGUCGAGCGAACGGACGAGAAGCUUGCUUCUCUGAUGUUAGCGGCGGACGGGUGAGUAACACGUGGAUAACCUACCUAUAAGACUGGGAUAACUUCGGGAAACCGUAGCUAAUACCGGAUAAUAUUUUGAACCGCAUGGUUCAAAAGUGAAAGACGGUCUUGCUGUCACUUAUAGAUGGAUCCGCGCUGCAUUAGCUAGUUGGUAAGGUAACGGCUUACCAAGGCAACGAUGCAUAGCCGACCUGAGAGGGUGGUCGGCCACCGGGGACCGGAGCCACGGCCCGGCCUCCGCGGGGAGGCAGCAGUAGGGACUCUUCCGCAAGGGGCGAAGGCGGGACGGCGCAGCGCGGCGGGAGUGAGGAAGGUUUUCGGAUCUAAAACCUGUUUUAUGAGGAAAAAAAAUGUGUGAAAGAAACGUUGCAUAUUGUGCGGUUCCCUAAUAAGAAGCCCCCGCCUACCUACGCC